GACGAACGCUGGCGGCGUGCUUAACACAUGCAAGUCGAACGGAAAGGCCCUGCUUUUGUUUGGUGCUCGAGUGGCGAACGGGUGAGUAACACGUGAGUAACCUGCCCUUGACUUUGGGAUAACUUCAGGAAACUGGGGCUAAUACCGGAUAGGAGCUCCUGCUGCGUGGUGGUGGUUGGAAAGUGUCGGCGGUUGGGGAUGGACUCGCGGCUUAUCCGCUUGUUGGUGUGGUAGGUGCGUACCAAGGCUUUGACGGGUAGCCGGCAUGGGAGGGUGAACGGGCACAUGGGGCCUGAGAUAGGGCCCAGACUCCUACGGGAGGCAGCAGUGGGGAAUAUUGCACAAUGGGCGGAAGCCUGAGGCAGAAACGCCGCGUGCGGGAUGACGGCUUUCGGGUUGUAAACCGAUUUCGAAUGUGACGAAGCGUGAGUGACGGUAAUGGGUAAAGAAGCACCGGCUAACUACGUG
rnacentral:rRNA from 1 species